rnacentral:tRNA from 1 species
GGUUACCUUGGCGAAGUUGUUGCUGCCGAAGCUCACGCCCGCGGGCAGUUCGCUGGCCUUGAUGCACUGGGUGCGGGUCACGAAGUUGAUCAC